UUUUGAAUGGGAAGCAUUUGUUGUUUACUUGUUGAUGAUUUUGUUUCGAAUUAUCCAAAAUAGGCUUGUUUCAAUUUCCCCUAACCUAACCAAACUGGAUCGACACCCGAGUUUUUGGUCUCUAUGCCCGAUUAAUUGAUUCAGUAAAUCGGGCAUGGAAACCGCUAACUUGGCGUAAAAUCUUAUUUGGUUAGGUUGUUGGAGAUUGAAUCAAUUGACCAACUACUGAUCAUGUUUUAUUACAAAUAUGGCGGGUUCUGUUGUAAUUGGGCAAGUAGAGAUGGAAUCCAGGGAUGCUGCGUUUUUUUGUCUCACCAUUCUACUAAUUCCAUCUCACAGUUUCUUAUUUGUUAAUAUCUGCUAUUCCAAUUUAAUUUUUUUAUGUAUUUUUUUUUAUUUUGACAGAAAGUUCGGGGUUUUGUAAUAUGGAAGAAGACUCUUGUUCUCUUUUAGUAAUUUGAUACAAGUUAUGGGCUUUUACACUUGGAUAUUAAUCAAUACUGAGGUAUGUGGGGAUGGUAUAAAUUGCAUGCUUUUAAGGCAUAGAAUUGCAUGUUAAGUAUUGAUCCUGAGAAUUUGCUAUGACUUGAUGGUAUUGAUGAGCCAUUACAGUGUUAUCUUGGAGUAAUAAUUAGCCAGAGCAUAUGUGCAACGGUGAAAGUGUCCGCUUCAGAAAUGUUUAUACCUAAUUUCUUGAAAGUUGAAUGCAAGCGAAAUCUUAUCUUAGAGUAAUAUUUACCUUUUUGUUUACAUUUGUUGAAUCACUUUAAAUUGGGAAGUGAACAUCGAAUCGAAACAUUUGUGGAGUCUUAGUUAAGACUGUUCAGUUGCCCCCUUUAGUUCAAUAUUUUUGAAGUUAUAUAAGUAAGUUAUCACAGAUAUACUUGCUAUUAAAGAUGUAGCAAGUUCAAUGAUUUCAAGUCUUAGAGUAAAAGUGUACAAACCAAAUAAAUUUCAUAUGAAUACAGACUAAAUAAGUCAUAGAGUACAGUGUACAAACCAAAUAAAUCUCAUGUUUCAGUAUUAUAAUUUAUUAUAGUUUAAUCCUCAAAUAGUUGGUCUUAGAGACGAGUCUCUAGAAUGGUUGAAGUAAAAAUAGGUUUUGGAUGAUGUGAGAUACAAAUCUGAAUUAUCCCUUGAGAGUAAUAUAAGGAGUCACUGGAGUGUAUACCUUUAUUUGUCUCCGAUCUGUUUGUGGAACCAAUUAUGUUUUUAGAUACUGUUUUUGCUCGUCACCCGGAUGCAUCGACUAUGGUUACAGUAUCGGAAUAGUUCCUUGUGCAGAAUUUAACUUGAAUCAUGUCUCUUUUAUUCAAUCAUCACCAAUGUUUUCUUUUUAACAUGUAUAAUGUAUUUAUAGUUUAUACUGUCAUCUGCAAAUUGUAUGUGGGUACUUCAUUAAUUGUUCAUUGCUUUCAGCUGUUUUGCUGAAAGUAGAAAAAAGGGGCGAUGAUUACAAUGAGAGAGGUCUUUAGUGGGAAAUACCCUAUUUGUUCGGAAAAUCAUAACCCAACUUCUAUCAGAGUUAGGAUCCUCUCCAUUUAUCAAUAUCAACAAAAAAAUUAAAAGAAAAUGAAAAUGAAGAAGAUUAGAACUUGAACGUGCCGCCAUACCCUUUUCACCAAAAGGGUCUGGCUUUGGCAUCUCAUAUUCUAUCUUCGUCUUCUUUCUCCUCUUCCUCUUUCUCUUACUGUCCCUUCAUAUUGAAUUGGGUUUUUUCCACAGUGACAGAGCUUUCUUAAUUUACACUUGAUAUGAGCCCCUCAACUUUCUGAUUUUCCAUCAUUAUUAUUAUUAUUAUUAACUUAUUUGUUUUUAAAAAUUAGUUUUGUUCAGAGUUGUAGUGUUUUUUCUUGCGCUGAUUUUAUUUUGGAUGAGGAAACACUUCAUGUUCUCGUCAAAGAUUCAGUGCGGACAGAAAAAGCUUGAUUUUAGCUACUGCUUGUUUCUGACGAACAUAUUUUUCAGAAUAUGGUGGAUUUGUUGUAAUUCGGCAGCGGCUCGACAACCGUGGAGAUGGAAUCCACAGAUGUUGAGUUUUUUCUUGUCUCACACUUCUACUAAUUCCAUCUCACAUUUUUUUCUUAUUUGUUAUCUGCUAAUUAAAUUAAUUGUUCAUUUGGAUGUAAUAUUUUUGAUAUUGAAAUAACUUUUUGGGGAUUAAUAAAAAGGAAGAAGACAAAGUAUUAUGUAAUCAAUUUGCUGCUUUUGCAUUUGCACUCUUUUUUUUUUUCCUUUCUUUUAAUUUGAUAAAAAUUAAUAGUUUUGAAUGGGAAGCAUUUGUUGUUUACCUGUUAUUGACGGUGUAGCAACUUCAAUGGUUUCAAUGCAGCAGAUAUGAAAACUUAAUAUUAAUCAAUGUUCCUGAGACUGGAAAGGCAAUCGUAUAGAAAUGCAUGAUAAGCAAUGUUCCUAAGAAUUUGGUGAAACAUUGAUGAGUCUUUACCGUGUGAACUUUGUGUUGUGGCAUAUUGGAUUGAGGAAUUUUUCAAGGGCUGUCUGUGUACCAUUUUUUAAGUUAAAAUCAUGUGCUAGUUAUAGAAAAACAUAUCACUUGUUUGUGACUGUAUAUACAAGCAAGUGCUGUACUUUGCCUCUCUUUGUUCUUGCAUGAAAUGAUGGAUAUACUGCGUCUUUGCAAUUGGGUGAUCGUUGAUUAUGUUUUUGUUUUUAAGGUGCUGCUUCAGAUAUCAUGCAAUGCACCUCUGGUAGUCUGGUUAAGUUUUUGUUCAAUAAGUUAUUAUAGGAAAAGGAUAUAAACAUUUACAAGUUAACAAGUUAAACGUUGAACUUUCUGAGUUAAGUUUCAGCUAAUUGCCAAUGCUCUAUUCUGUAUAAAGCGUGGGUUAGAUUCAUUGUUCAUUGCUUUCAGCUGAUUUGAUGAAGGUAUAAAGAAAAGGGAGAUUAUUAUAACGAGAGAGGCCUUUAGUGGGAAAUAAUAAUCAAUUCAAUCGGAAAAUCAGAACCCUAACUUCUAUCAGAGUUAGGAUUUGCUCCAUUUACCAAUAUCAACGAAAAGUGAAAAGAAAGUGAAAGCAAAGGAGGUCAGAACUGGAAGGUGCCGUCACACCCUUGUCACCAAAGGGUUUUGACUUUGGCAUUUUUUUUUAUUUUUAUUUUUUUGUUUUUUGUCUCACACUUCUACUGAUUCCAUAUCACAUUUUCUUAUGUUUAAGUGUUCAUUUUCAUGCAAGUUAACAAUUUUGAUUUGAAUUUCGGGGUUUUAUAAUAAGGAAGAAGAC
rnacentral:lncRNA from 1 species